rnacentral:rRNA from 1 species
AUGCAAGUCGAGCGAUGAGGCCCUUCGGGGGUACAUCAGCGGCAGACGGGUGAGUAACACGUGGGUGACCUACCCUAAAGACGGGGAUAACCCUCGGAAACGGGGGCUAAUACCGGAUAGCUACAGCGUACGGGGGUAUGUUGUAGAAAGCUACGGCGCUUUAGGAGGGGCCUGCGGCCCAUCAGCUAGUUGGUAGGGUAACGGACUAACCAAGGCAAAGACGGGUAGGGGGUGUGAGAGCACGGACCCCCACAAUGGGACUGGAACACGGCCCAUACUCCUACGGGAGGCAGCAGCAGGGAAUAUUGCGCAAUGGGCGAAAGCCUGACGCAGCAGAAGCCGCGUGAGUGAAGACGAGCUUACGAGUUGUAAAAACUACUAUAACUAGGGGGAAGAGGAAGGACGGUACCCGAGGAAUAAGCGUAGGCUAACUACGUGCCAGCAGCCGCGGGUAAGACGUAGGACGCGAGCGUUAUCCGGAUUUACUGGGCGUAAAGCGCCUGUAGACGGCUUUGUAAUUUGGGCGUGAAAGCCCCGUGCUUAACGCGGGGAGUCCGUUCAAUACUGCGGAGCUAGAGUACGGCAGAGGGGAGUGGAAUUCCUGGAGUACCGGUAAAAUGCGCAGAUAUCAGGAGGAACACCAGUGGCGAAGGCGGCUCCCUGGGCCGAGACUGACGCUCAGAGGCGAAAGCUAGGGGAGCGAACAGGAUUAGAGACCCUGGUAGUCCUAGCCCUAAACGAUGGAUGCUAGGUGUGGGGGCGAUGAGUUUCCGUGCCGGAGCAAACGCGAUAAGCAUCCCGCCUGGGGACUACGGCCGCAAGGUUAAAACUCAAACGAAUUGACGGGGGCCCGCACAAGCAGCGGAGCGUGUGGUUUAAUUCGAUGCUACACGAAGAACCUUACCUGGGUUUGACAUGUAGGUGGUAGCGAGGCGAAAGCUGAGCGACCCUUCGGGGAGCCUACACAGGUGCUGCAUGGCUGUCGUCAGCUCGUGCCGUGAGGUGUCGGGUUAAGUCCCGUAACGAGCGCAACCCUUGCUCCUAGUUAUACGUGUCUAGGGGGACUGCCGGCGGGAAGCCGGAGGAAGGUGGGGAUGACGUCAAGUCAGCAUGGCCCUUAUGUCCAGGGCUACACACACGCUACAAUGGCCAGUACAAAGGGUAGCGAAGCCGCGAGGUGGAGCGAAUCUCAGCAAAGCUGGUCGUAGUUCGGAUUGCAGGCUGCAACCCGCCUGCAUGAAGCUGGAGUUGCUAGUAACCGCGCGUCAGCUAUAGUGCGGUGAUACGUUCCCGGGCCUUGUACACACCGCCCGUCACGUCAUGGGAGUCGGUAACGCCUGAAGGCGGUAGCUUGACCUGAUAAAGGGGAGCGCUGUCGAGGGCGGGACUG